ensembl:lncRNA
AUGAGGUGGGCAAGGCUCAUGACACUUUGGUUGGCACACUAUUGGAGGUGGAUGGCAGGGCUCCUUGCACUGAUGGUGAUGCUGAUGCGGAUGCUGGUGGUGAGACAUCCUUCCUGGGUCUCAAGGAAUCUGAAAUACAAACAGACAACUUUCUUAAUACCUAUGAGUCUGAUUGGUAGAACAUUUAGCUGUGCCAACAACCCUCCCAUCACUAAGGACUCUUCUGGAUUCCUAAUGCAGACUUUGAAGAGCUUUUCCACACAGUGUCUCCAACAUACCCUCUAUAUCACUAUCAUUUGCCUUGUAUGUGCAUGUGUGUGUGUGUGUGUGUGUGUGUGUGCAAAAUCCCUUCAAGAGUUUAGAUGGAAAAAGGACUUUAGUCACCAUCCUCAUGUCCCAGGCACAUAAGAGACUGCCUGACAUGUGUUAAUAAUUGGGAAACAUUUGUGAUUACAUUAAUUUCUAUGAGUACACUGAGUUGAAUAGAGUCUGCCUACUAGUUUUACAAAUAAGGAACCAGAGACUGAGCGAAUUCAACUCUUUUCAGGGUCUUCAAAAUAGACAAAGAUAGAAACAAGACUGAAACCGAUGAAAGAAUUCUUUGAUGGAUCCAGUCCCAAAGACAUAUUUCAGACAAAGCUGAACUCAGAGAUGGAAAAGUCUAAUUUUGAUAAUCCAAUGGGAAUGAAAAGGAACACUCAGAAGAAUACUUGUAGUUGACAGAAGAGAUGAAAAACACUAUAUGUAAAAGAAAAAUUAAAUGAAAGAAAGACAUACAUAAUGGACUAUGAAUAUGCUUUAUUGGAGAAGCAAAAGAAUAGACACACUAAUUGCUCACGGGUUAGAGAUCACAAUGUGGAUUACUGACGGGCACAUGGCAAAGAGAGAUCAAGCAAUGAUUCUGCUGCUCUUCUUCCAACAACGUGGUGUCAGCUUCAGGAAGCAAGCAUUUCCUCUGUCAGCUUUUGGUUGAAGAGGGAGAUUAAGGAAGAUGCAGUCUGUCACCAUGGCUGAAGGGAGGACAGUGGAAGAGCCUGGAUCUUGUUUCUUGGUCCAGAUGAAAUCUGGUGUUGUUACUUCCACUUGAGUGGACACUUCUGAUCGCAUGGUGGGUGUGGUGGUCCAGGAAGGCAUUUCUUCUGGCUCACUGGAGGUGGGCAUGGAUGAGGUGGGCAAGGCUCAUGGCACUUGGGUGGGCACACUAUUGGAGGUGGAUGGCAGGGCUCCUUGCACUGAUGGUGAUGCUGAUGCUGAUGCUGAUGUGGAUGCGGAUGUGGAUGCUGGUGGUGAGACAUCCUUCCUGGGUCUCAAGGAAUCUGAAAUACAAACAGACAACUUUCUUAAUAACUGUAAGUCCAAUUGGUAGCACAUUUAGCUGAGCUAACAACCCUCCCAUCACUAAGGAGUCUUCUGGAUUCCUAAUACAGACUUUGUGAGUUUUUAUAGCUUCUUCACCCUUCUUUUUAAGUAUCUCUUGCCCUCAGAUCUUCAGUCUUUUCUAGUUAGUCUCUCCUAUCUUUCUAAAACAAAAUUACCUACACAGGUGUUGUACAAAUACAAACAUACUCUGAAGAAGAAUCUGGAUAAUAAACUUGUAGCCAAUCUCCAAACAAAUCUCUACUUAUUUCUCCCAUGAGAUCUUGGUUGCUGGCCAAGCUGACCUGACUGUGGGCUUCUGAGUCAAAAUGCAAAGACUCAAACUAGACACUCAAUGGGACUGAAUGCUGAGAAGGGGGCAUUUGGAACUAAUGUGUGCUGUGCUGUGACACAGUAUCUCAUCCCCCUUACUCUCUCUCAGGUUAAGACUGUGCUUGACUCCAUUUUCUCCUCACAUUUAAGAUCGCAUUCAUUACCACAUACCAAAAAUUUACCCCUAAAUCCUCAUUGUCUUCUUUUUCCCAUACAGAACACUAAUUGCUUCAAUUAAAGCCACUUAGAUGCCCCGAUUAAACCCUAUCACCCAAGUUCCCAAAAGAUCUCUAAGAGUUGUGCUCACCAGAGGCUCCAAAGAAGACCUAUGACUGUCACGACAAUGACAGCACUGUGCUGGAGACUCCUUUUAUAAGGACCAGUUGGCUCCACCCAGGGGGAACAUCCCAGGACUGGCACGAUGCACUUGUUUCCCACCCCAAAUACCACACGCUUGCAAUCUCAAAAAUCAAUGCCCCAGUCAUACAGGUAUCACACAGUUCCCUUGUCCGUGGACUUGCUCACCCUUCAGUGAGGAAUUACAGAGUGAUUCAUUUGAGACUAUGUCUCAUACUUCCUCUACCUGUGUCGUGCACCAUUUAGGGAAUAUGAGGGAUGCCUGAGAAUGCUGCUAUUCUUCCAUAGUUAGAGAUGUUGCUUCCCCCUCUUGCCAGCUCCCCAAGCAUCUGGUACAUAAAACUUACUACCCCAUUCCAUUUCAUCUGUCAGCACCCGGCUUUUUGUCCAUUGAUGACAGAGACCAGAGUUUACUAAGUGCAUAUAUUUUAACUCCUACCUACAGUUUUCCUAAACUCGCCUUGUACCAUAUACUACUUCUUGACAAUUAAGUGACUUAAACCUGACCACAAUGUCUAUCUUGAUUUUUUAGAGCACACAGUCUUGCGUCAAAUGUGCUGUAACAUGGCAUACACGGACUUGAACAGGACAACGUGAUCCCUCAGUUUCUUAGGCCAUAAAUCACAAGCUCUGACCCCUUCCUGAAGCUCUACUUUUGCAGGUUUAUGCACUGAUCUGAACUCUGCAGACCCAUGAUCUGAGUCAUUUGUGGUCUACUAGAAACCCAAAUUCCUCUCCUCUCAUUAUCUUCAAAAUGAACUCAGUGUCUGGGCUAUAUGCAUUUAGAAGCUUUCCCACUAAUACUCCCUAAAUAUCUUGCACUUCUUUCCCCUACAGCAGUUAAUUCAAUUGACUCGAUCAGGUCCUUUAUUUUAAGUGACACUUAGUGUGUUUUCAGACAUUCUUAGUACACUCAGGGGAUGAACCUCCAUGAACCAUUGAUUCAGCCAUUCAAUCCAUGUCUAUUUGUCCUUAAAUAAAUUAAAUAUGGGUGACAUAGAACCCCUUGAUUAUUUAUUAGUGUAAUUUGAAGUAACACUUCAGCUAAUAAUAUUUACUAUGCCUUUCAGGGGAAAUUUUGAGUACCUUGCCUAUCAGUUCAGUUCAGUACAGUACAGUCACUCAGUCAUGUCUGACUGUUUGUGACCCCAUGAAUCUGCAGUACCCCAGGUUUACCUGUCUGUCACAGCUCUCAGAACUUGCUCAAACUCAUGUCCAUCAAGUUGGUGAUGCCAUCCAAACAUCACAUCCUCUGUCAUCCCCUUUUCCUCCUGCCUUUGGUCUUUCCCAUCAUCAGGAUCUUUUCCAGUGAGUCAGUUCUUCACAUCAAGUGGCCAAAUUAUUGGCGCUUCAGCCUCAGCAUCAGUCCUUCCAAUGAAUAUUCAGGACUGAUUAUCUUUACUGUUGACUGGUUGGAUCCCCUUGCAGUCCAAGGGACUCUCAAGGGUCUUCUCCAACACCACAGUUCAAAAGCAUCAAUUAUCUGGUGCUCAGCUUUCUUUCUGGCCCACUUCUCACACCCAUACAUGAAUGACUACUGGAAAAAACAUAGUGUUGACUAGGUGGGCCUUUGUCGGCAAAGUAAUGUUUCUGCUUUUUAAUAUGCUGUCUAGAUUGGCCAUAGCUUUUCUUCUGAGGAGCAAGUGUCUUUUAAUUUCAUGGCUGCAGUCACCAUCUGCAGUGAUUUGGAGACCUAGAAAAUAAAAUCUCUUACUGUUUCCAUUUUUUCCCUAUCUGUUUGCCAUGAAGUGAUGGGACCAGAUGCCAUGCUCUUAGUUUUCUGAAUGUUGAGUUUUAAGCCAACUUUUUCACUCUCCUCUUUCACUUUCAUCAAGAGGCUCUUUAGUUCUUCUUCAGUUUCUACCAUAAGGGUGAUGUCAUCUGCAUAUCUGAGGUUAUUGAUAUUUCUCCCGGAAAUCUUGAUUCCAGCUUGUGCUU